AGCUCGUGCCGUGAGGUGUCCGGUUAAGUCCGGCAACGAGCGAGACCCCCACCCCUAGUUGCUACCCGAUCCUUCGGGAUCGGGGGCACACUAGGGGGACUGCCGGCGUAAGCCGGAGGAAGGAGGGGGCCACGGCAGGUCAGUAUGCCCCGAAACCCCGGGGCUGCACGCGAGCUGCAAUGGCGGGGACAGCGGGAUCCGACCCCGAAAGGGGGAGGUAAUCCCGUAAACCCCGCCCCAGUAGGGAUCGAGGGCUGCAACUCGCCCUCGUGAACG
rnacentral:rRNA from 1 species